rnacentral:rRNA from 1 species
UGCAGUCGAACGGCAGCACAGUAAGAGCUUGCUCUUAUGGGUGGCGAGUGGCGGACGGGUGAGGAAUACAUCGGAAUCUACUUUUUCGUGGGGGAUAACGUAGGGAAACUUACGCUAAUACCGCAUACGACCUUCGGGUGAAAGCAGGGGACCUUCGGGCCUUGCGCGAUUGAAUGAGCCGAUGUCGGAUUAGCUAGUUGGCGGGGUAAAGGCCCACCAAGGCGACGAUCCGUAGCUGGUCUGAGAGGAUGAUCAGCCACACUGGAACUGAGACACGGUCCAGACUCCUACGGGAGGCAGCAGUGGGGAAUAUUGGACAAUGGGCGCAAGCCUGAUCCAGCCAUACCGCGUGGGUGAAUAAGGCCUUCGGGUUGUAAAGCCCUUUUGUUGGGAAAAAUACCACCUUUCAAUACCUA